AUCCAUUGGUUCAAAGUAUGAUGAAUGGUAUUUCUGGCGCCUGCUAGAGACGUGCCUGCCUCCCUGUUACGAUCAGGGCACGACACCUUCUGACU